ACUCCCUCGGUUAGAUCCCAAAUCACCAUCACCCCUCCCCCCACCCCAACCUCCGCCGCCAAACCCCACAACGCCGCACCACCAGCCAGCUCUCACCGACCAACCCAGCGCCACUCCGCCGCCCGCCGGAUCCAGCGAUCCGGCAUGCAGCCCUCCUCCUCCUCCUCCUCCUCCGCGCACCCGCCGGACCACCCCGGCGCCAAGCCCCCGCCCCCUCCUGCCCCCGCCAUGGGCUACCCCGCCAACCCUUCCCCCAACGGGAACCCAGCCGCCUACUUCGCCGCCGCCGCCGCCGCGCCGCCUCCCUCCGCCGCGGGGCACCCCAACGGCACCGCGGCCUUCGGCGUCGCGUACCCCUACCCCGCCCCGCCGCCGCACCACCCGCCUCCGCCGCCCCACCACCACCCCUACCCCUACCCCCCGCCGCCGCCCACCUGCCUGCGCCGCCUCCUCGCAGCCGUCGUCGGCGCCUUCCUCCUCCUCGGCGCCGCCACCUUCAUCGUCUGGCUGCUCCUCCGCCCGCGCGCGCCCGCCUUCUCCCUCGCCUCCCUCGCGCUCUCCCGCGUCGCCUACUCCCCCUCCAACUCCUCCCUCUCCGCCUCCUUCGACGCCGCGCUCCUCGCCGCCAACCCCAACGCCAAGCUCGCCGUCACCUACUUCUCGCCCCUCGCCUCCGUCUCCUUCGCGCCCUCCUCCCCCAUCGCCGUCGCCUCGCUCGCGCCCUUCAGCCAGGGGCCCGGGAACACCACCACGCUCGCCUUCCGCCUCGUCGUCGACGACGCCUACGUGGGGCCCGACGACGCCGCCCCGCUCAGGAGCGGCGGCGGCGCCGGGGGCGCCGUCGCCGUCCAGGUCAGGCUCAUGGCCGUCGCCGUUUUCGACAGAGGGGGCUGGCGCACGCGCCGCAGGGUCAUGAGGGUUGUGUGCGACGGCGUGCAGGUGGUUUUCCGCGGGAAGAAUUCCACUGAGGCAGCGUUCAACGGCCCGCCGAGACGCUGCGAUGUCGUGUUGUGAAGGAGAAUAUGUUGCCAGCAAUCACCGUUGUCUUGUAGCAUCCAGACUAUUAAGUCUUAAGCUUGCAAAACAGGAUUCACAAUACCAUGUUGGUUGACUUCUGGGGGUUGCUGAUAGGAGGGAACUUAUUUCAUAGGUACAAGAAGCUAACUGGCACUACGAGAUGGUGUAUCGGCACUGAUUUGGUGAGCCUGUGAAACCAUGGUUUUGCCUGGCUGUAAUAGAGUAGCGAGAGAGUUGUGAAAUGAUUUGUGCUUGGUGGGAAUAUGAAUCUGUAUCUAUGAUAGCUUCAACACGAAUGGUUGUGAGAAUCAUGGCAAGAAUGAUUGUGCGUGGUGGUUACUUUUGCGUGCACUAUGGAGCCUCGUGGGAAACGUACAUCGAGUUGCUGCUUGAAAGCAGAAAAGCUUCUUGGGCAUGGAUGGUUGGAAGUUGAAACCUGCGACAGUCACUCGUAUCGUUCACUAAUUGCUCUGCAUUACCUUGCACCUUGAGAACUCCACUACGCUGUACUAUGGCCCUCCUUGGUAUAUGUACUAUGAAUGAUUGUUUAGCUGUUAGUAUUAUCAAAAGCCUUGUCCAAAAAAUGAUUCUGUUGGCACC